rnacentral:rRNA from 1 species
AUUGAACGCUGGCGGCAUGCUUUACACAUGCAAGUCGAACGGCAGCGCGGGGGCAACCCUGGCGGCGAGUGGCGAACGGGUGAGUAAUAUAUCGGAACGUACCCAGAAGUGGGGGAUAACGUAGCGAAAGUUACGCUAAUACCGCAUACGAUCUACGGAUGAAAGUGGGGGGACCUUCGGGCCUCAUGCUUUUGGAGCGGCCGAUAUCUGAUUAGCUAGUUGGUGAGGUAAAGGCUCACCAAGGCGACGAUCAGUAGCUGGUCUGAGAGGACGACCAGCCACACUGGAACUGAGACACGGUCCAGACUCCUACGGGAGGCAGCAGUGGGGAAUUUUGGACAAUGGGGGCAACCCUGAUCCAGCAAUGCCGCGUGAGUGAAGAA